rnacentral:rRNA from 1 species
UACGAAGGGGGCUAGCGUUGCUCGGAAUCACUGGGCGUAAAGCGCACGUAGGCGGACUCUUAAGUCGGUGGUGAAAUCCUGGAGCUCAACUCCAGAACUGCCUUCGAUACUGAGAGUCUCGAGUCCGAGAGAGGUGAGUGGAACUGCGAGUGUAGAGGUGAAAUUCUAGAUAUUCGCAAGAACACCAGUGGCGAAGGCGGCUCACUGGCUCGGGUACUGACGCUGAGGUGGCGAAAG